AUAAGGUUGCCGAGACAUGAAAAACAGUUAACAUCAGAAUAAACUGUCCAUUAGUGGAGGAAGUACUUUUUAUCUGACUUUGCUGGUUGCUAGUAUUUGCUUUUAGCAUAAUCAUCACUCAUCAGAACAUCAUUUUCUUGUACAUUUCUGAUUUUUCUGUUUCUCAUACCCCAUUUAAGCUGUCAGAAAAAUGUGACUGUUUGCUAAAAAGUUACCCUUAUUCUGUUGAUUUCUUUCUGGCCGAUAAGCUUCUGUCCCCAGAAUUCCAACCUUCUAUCAAGCAGUUGAUUCGCUUUAUGCCCACAAGCCGUCAGAUUCUUAUGUUCUCAGCUACAUUUCCUGUUACAGUAAAAGAUUUCAAAGAACGAUACCUGAGAAAACCCUAUAUCAUCAACCUUAUGGAUGAGCUUACCCUCAAGGGUAUAACCCAGUUUUAUGUUUUUGUUGAAGAAAGACAGAAAGUUCACUGCCUCAACACCCUUUUUUCAAAGCUUCAAAUAAACCAGUCUAUUAUUUUCUGCAAUUCUGUGAAUCGGGUGGAACUUCUUGCAAAGAAAAUCACAGAACUUGGCUACUCUUGCUUCUACAUUCACGCUAAGAUGCUUCAGGAUCACCGCAACAGAGUAUUUCAUGACUUCCGUAAUGGUGCCUGCAGGAAUCUUGUCUGCACUGAUCUGUUUACAAGAGGGAUAGAUAUCCAGGCAGUCAAUGUUGUAAUCAACUUUGAUAUCCCUAAGAAUUCUGAAACGUAUUUACACAGGGUUGGCCGAUCCGGAAGAUUUGGACACCUUGGCUUAGCUGUGAAUCUCAUCACCUAUGAGGACCGUUUUAAUUUGUAUAGGAUUGAAUAAGAAUUAGGAACAGAAAUCAAGCAAAUCCCACCACAAAUUGACCAGGCUGUAUACUGUCAGUGAUAUGCAGGGAUUGCUAUUCGAUCCACGAUUUGAAGUUUGUAAGUUGCAGGAAAGUUGCUACCCGUGGAAGAGGGGAGAUGAUUGAAGGUUGGGGUUCAGAUGCAAUCAUGGUCUUGGUUGGUAAUGAGAAGCUUUAUAUAUGAUGCUCGACUUUCCAACAUAUUGGGCAUCUGAUGCCACUUCAACUUCUAAAGGGAUGGUAUACCGUACAACCUUCAAGAUUAUAUCUUAUUGCUCUAGGUUAUGACUCGUCUUAUUAUCUAUAUUAACGUUAGACUAUGGCCAUCAUGUGUUUCUGUAUGUUCUGUGCGAAAGAGGGUUUUCUUAUCCUAGUUUGUACGAUUGAUCUUGCUUGAAGGAGAAAAAGAGAUUGAUUCUGUUU